rnacentral:rRNA from 1 species
GAAAGGUUUGGGGUUGUAGCUGGCUUCUCUCCUCCUAGAGGUUUGGAGUAUGUGCACACCUUCUCUUUCAUCCACACACCCCUUGUGCACUUGUGAGACGGAGGCGAUUUAUUUCUCCUUUAACUUGGGGGGGAAUGGGUUUGCCUCCGUCUAUCAUCACAUAAAAUCUAAUUUAUUUAAAACUGAAUGUAAAAUUGGAUGUAACACAUCUAAAUACAAAGUUUCAACAACGGAUCUCUUGGCUCUCGCAUCGAUGAAGAACGCAGCGAAAUGCGAUAAGUAAUGUGAAUUGCAGAAUUCAGUGAAUCAUCGAAUCUUUGAACGCACCUUGCGCUCCUUGGUAUUCCUUGGAGCAUGCCUGUUUGAGUAUCAUGAAAUUCUCAAAGCAAAGUCUUUUUGUUAAUUCAAUUAGCUCUGCGCUUUGGAUUUGGGGGUUUUGCAGAUUAAAUUCUGCUCCUCUUAAAUGUAUUAGCUGGAUCUCCAUGAAACUUGGUUCCACUCGGCGUGAUAAGUUAUCACUCGUCGAGGACACCCGUAAAAAGGUGGCCAGGCUUUUUUCAAGGAUGAGCCGCUUCUAAUAGUCCAUUGACUUUGGACAAAACUUUAUGAUCUGAUCUCAAAUCAGGUAGGACUACCCGCUGAACUUAAGCAUAUCAAUAA